GAGAGGGAUAUUAAGAAAGCUGAUUCAGCUUUGGUACAGAUAUGAAUUCUUCGUCACAGAGCCUGUAAUCAUGCAGGGUUUGGUGAGGGAAAGGGUCUUUUCUCAUUUUGUGUCCUAAUUUCUGUGAACUGCAGAUAAACCACAAAUAACGUGAGACAGUGUUUUGUUCUUAGUUUACUAUUCAGUGAGAAAAGAGGAGAAGAAAGAAAGAAAAAAAAAUACUCAUUAUGUGUCAGCUUGCUGCAGAUUUGACCUCACCGGACUUAACAGUUUACAUCACUGUAUGUAGUCAUGAUCCAAAAUCUCUUUUUAAUUUUUACCUGAUCACUAGUUAGUUAUGCAGAGAGAACAAGAGAGCUUAAAAGAGAGAGAAAAUAUAAGGGAGUGAUUGUUUUGGAAUCAAAGGUAAUGUUAAUGGAAAUAGUGAAGGAGGAAAGCAGGUUAAAGGCGGCUGCAGAGUGCAGUACCGUUUCGCUUCGGUGGUCUCAGUUUUGUAGUUCUGAGGUUUUUAUAUGACUCGUGUCUUGACAUUUAUGACAGCUAAAAGUCAGCUUCUUAAAAAUGUAAGUUCAGAAGCUUUUGGGGGUCUUACUUGCUCAUAUCUCGCUCAUCUUUUACUCACUCAUGAUGCUGGUCUUGUGGUGUGGUUUCCUUCUUUUGGCACACUUCCUCUGCCAUGUCCAUCCACAGAAGUGUGACACUAAAUAUGAAUAUAAACAAAAAAAUAUUAUACAAUGCUGCAACAAAUGUGGACCUGGUAUGCAAUGAGUUAAAAGGACUUUCUUUUUUAUUCAUUUAUGAAGUGAACGCAUGGAGCAGAGAUGCACGAACAAUUCCCCGACUUUAUGUAAACAGUGUGAUCCUGACUUCUUCAUGGAUGAAUAUAGUACUGAAAUGGAAUGCAAAAGGUGCUCUCAAUGCACCAAAGAUUAUAUGGUGUACAAGGUGAGCUGCUCUAAAAGCACUGAUGCAGUGUGUGACUGUGAAAGUGGAUAUAAAUGCAACGAUAAAUCCUGCACCCAAUGUGAGAAAAUCCCAACAACACCACCACCACCACCACAACAACAACAACAACAACAACAACAACAACAACAACAGCAUCAAAUACAACAACAACAACAACAUCAAGCAUAAUGCCUAUUAUACUUUCCCAUGACACUCUAUGGAUCACUCUGAGUCUGUGUUGUGUGUGCAUUCUGCUUAACUGUUUCAUUCUCAUCAGCAGACACACACCUGCAUGUGGAAGGAUCAUGCUGGCUUCAACUGGUUCUUUUUGGGGGCCCAAGAAAACAUCAGCUGAAUCCAGUCAGUGCACAGAAGACGAGGAAGUGCCAAUGCCAGUCCAAGAGGUGUGUGGACAGAAGGAAUGGCAAGAAGAGGUCUGAGGGAAACAGAGGAAAGCGGCGGGAACGAGGCAGGAAAAGGCGCCUAAGAGUGUGGAUCGACUAUGUACUGUAAUGAAAAUUCAUAAAGGGAGCAGGAGACACACUCAUCCUGCACCCAGGCUAAUGGGAUACUAAGAGACAAGGGAAAGGAAUGACACUUUUCAAAAUACACUGUAUAGCACAAUGCUUCAAUGAAAAGGUUUAGAUUUAUGUUAAUUUGUCCAGGUUCUCCUUUUUCCUCCCACUUCAGAAAAGUAUGAAUGUAAAUGAAUUGGCUUUGAUAAAUUGCACCUUGGUGUGAAUUUAGUGUGGAUUGAAACGGCUAUUGAAAAUGUAUUAGUUUAUUUAUUAGUUGUUUGCGCUAAUUAAUUCUUUAAUGUUUCAUUUAUAUUCACAAAUGUGGAACGGCAGAUUUUUUCCCAUUUUUGGAAAGUUUACUGUCUAUAGUUUCAGGGGGUUUAGUUUUAUUAUUGUUUGUAUAGAUUUUUUUUUUAUUGGAUCUGAUUAUUAGGAAUUACGAGCAAGAGAAGAACCAUGUACAAUCUUGAAAGGGAAAUUAAACACUCUGAAGCCAUCUUUGAAUUGGCAAAAAAUGUAUUUAAGGGCCAAAUGCAGUAGUAGAAGGCAUGCUAUUGUAGUUGCAUGUUUUUGACUUUGUUAUCUUAUUCUUUUAAUAAUUAUAAUACUUCCAUAUGGGAGUCCAUGAUGGUAGUCAAGCGGAAACUUGACAUGGCAAUUUUGUUGAACAGCACUCAUGCACUCUAUUGCCUCCAACAGGGCAAGGUUUAGCAUACAUUUGCAAUUAAAAUCUCCGCAACAUUUGUCAUAGAAAUGUUCCUUUAUUCUCUGAAUCUUUGGGUUAUGCAAAGAUUUAGGCUGUUUAUACAAAUGUGUCCAUUAAAUUUGUAAAAAAAAAGUUUAGUAAAGUUAAAAGUAAGGGAAAAUCUCAGAUAAUAUUGUUAUUCAGCCUAUACGUUGUAAAUACAUGAAUCUAAAAUAAAGGUUAAUCUAAUUUAACCUCUAGGGGGUGCAAUUGCUCAUAACAUUUGAACCACUUAACGUCAGCAAGUUUUUAUGCUUAUUUUUAAAAAUUCAACAAAGACAAACAAGGUUUGCAAAUCUGACUUUUACCAAAUCUUCUUUAAACUGGAUCUCCUACAAAGUUUGAUGAAUUAUCACAGAACUCUGGGUAUUAUUACAUUUGAACAAUAUUAUUCAUAUUACAAUUGAACAAGAAAUUCUGCAUUUCAGGCUGUUGUAUGGUAUGUUAAGGAAGCACUUUAAACAUUGAUGUAUGAUAACUCCAUGCUCCAUGAUUGUCUGUGACCAUUUAGAUUUUGAUAUUGAUUUUAUUAGAAUCCAGGAUGCUCUCUAUAUUCACCAGUUCUGUACAGUGGUUUUGUUAGUAGCCAAGUAAUUGUCAGUUACAUUUUUCUAGGAUGUAAAUUCUAUUGUCCCUAGACCUUGCUUACUGAGUAAAUAUUGGUGUGUACGAAAGUGUUUGAUUCGGAGCAGCACAGAUUUUAUUGUUAUCCAUACUGUACACUGAGAAUUUUGUGUGGCUUUUUGUUUAUUUGUAUGUUACUGAGUGGGAAGUAUAAAAAUGUAAAUGCAUUCUAAAUGUAAAUGCAUUCUUGAUAUGUAAUUUUUUAUAAAUUAUGUAAAUCAAUUCAUUGCUAUCAAAUGAAUUGAAUAAUAGCAUCUUGAGUUCUUCUUAUGAACACAUAAUAUUGUAUACAGUACCUACAGCAACUUAUGCAUGCUUAUGUUUAAUCAAAUAAAAAGGGUAUUUUGGAAUCUAUGAAGCCUAUGUCUGAGGUUUUAGCAAAUGUUUAUCAUCUACUCCAUUAGCUCAGGUGCUUAGAAAUCAUAGGUGACAGAGAUAUUGGUGCUGGAUUUAGUUGUAGGUAAAAACA